NNNNNNNNNNNNNNNNNNNNNNNNNNNNNNNNNNNNNNCACACACACACACACACACACACACACAGUGAAACCAAACUACUGAUUUAAGGAAGAUAAAACAUCAAGUCUCUCUUUCUCUGUCUGUUUGUCUCUGUAAAUGGUUCUCACUAAUUUUCUUCUGCCUCUUUCUUAAUUUCUGUUGCUGUCUGCCGGUAUUUGCCAUUCCUGUCUGUCUCACUCUCUUUCUCCUUUUCUUUUUUCCCCCUUGUCUGUCUCAAUUUCUCCCUCUCUCUUUUCCUACUUUUUUGGUGUCUCUUCCCCUCUGCCUGUCUCACUUUCUUUCAUCCUCUCUAUUUUCCUUUUGUGUUUGUCUCCGUUUCGUUUCUGUCUGUCUCAUUCUAGUUUUCUUUGCCUAUUUUCUUCACUGUUAGUAUCAAUUUUCUUUUCCAGCAGUCUCACUCUCAUUUUCCCCUCUCGGCCUGUCUCACUCUCUUUUGCCCUCUCUAUUGUUCUUUCCUGUCUGUCUCUCUUUCGUUUCCUCCCUGUCAGUCUCAAUUUCUUUCUCCCUCUAUUUUUCUACCGUCUCACUCUCAUUUCCCCUCCCUGUCUGUCUUUCUUUCACCCUCUCAAUUUACUUUCCUUUCUGUCUCAUGCUUGUUUCCUCCCUGUCUGUCUCAUUCUUGUUUUCCUUCGCUUUCCCCGUUAUUCCUUUUCAGCUGUCUCACCCUCAUUUUUCCUUUCUGCCUGUCUUACUCUCUUUUGCUCUCUCUAUUGUCCUUUCCUGUCUGUCUUGCUUUCGUUUCCUCCCUGUCAGUGUCAAUGUCUUUUUCCCACUCUUUUCCUACCCCUACUGUCUCACUCUUAUUUCGCCUACCUGUCUGUCUUACUUUCGUUCGCCCUCUUAAUUUUCCUUUCCUUUCUGUCUCAUGCUUGUGUCCUCCCCGACUGUUUUCCUUCCUUACUAUUCUUCUCCAACUGUCUCACUCUCUAUUUUCUUUCCUGUCUGUCUCACUUUCAUUUCCUCCAUUUAUUUCAUUCUUGUUUACCUUCCUCCCUAUCAGUCUCAAUUUUGUUCUUCUUCUCUGUCUCUCACUCUCAUCUUUCUCUAUCUGUCUCACUCUCACUUUUUUCACCCUCACUAUUUUCCUUUCUGUCUGUCUCACUCUCACUUUCCCUCCUUGUCUGUCUCACUUUUUUUU
rnacentral:lncRNA from 1 species